rnacentral:miRNA from 1 species
CACAUCACGUAGGCACCAGGUGU